CUCUUCUCUCCCUGGAGGGCAAUGGUGCACUGAAAAUACUCAACCUUUCUUGGAAUGGCAUUGGCAACGAGGGAGCACUGGCCCUAGGACAGGCUCUCAAAGUCAAUAAUGUGCUGGUUCACCUGGACAUCAGCAACAACCAGAUCAACAACGAGGGAGCCAAGAAGCUCUGCAGGGGCCUUGCAGUCAAUGGAACACUCAAAAUCCUGAAGAUGGCAAAUAAUCCCCUGACCGUGGAUGGUGCCAUUGAACUAGUCAUAUCUGUCAGAAAGAAUGCCCAAUCCAUGAUGGAGGAGAUCAACAUCUCAAAUGUGUUGGUAAACGAAACUUUCAUCAAGUUGCUGGAUUUGGUGUGUCAAACACGUCCUGAGCUACAUGUCACCUAUGGUCAUAUCGAAGGCUGUAUCACCAAGAUCCCCAAGCUACAUCCAAAUCCCAUGAAAGUGAUUCAGGUGAGCUACUGAAUUUGGGUCCACAGCUCCCCUGUACACAGUACACAU
rnacentral:lncRNA from 1 species